rnacentral:rRNA from 1 species
ACGCUCGACACCUACGGGAGGCAGCAGUCGGGAAUAUUGCGCAAUGGAGGAAACUCUGACGCAGUGACGCCGCGUGCAGGAAGAAGGUUUUCGGAUUGUAAACUGCUUUAGACAGGGAAGAACAAAUGACAGUACCUGUAGAAUAAGCUCCGGCUAACUACGUGCCAGCAGCCACGGUAAUCUGAGCGGGCUGGCAAGGC